AACGAACGCUGGCGGCAGGCCUAACACAUGCAAGUCGAGCGCCCCGCAAGGGGAGCGGCGGACGGGUGAGUAACGCGUGGGAACGUACCCUUUGCUACGGAAUAGCCUCGGGAAACUGGGAGUAAUACCGUAUGUGCCCUUCGGGGGAAAGAUUUAUCGGCAAAGGAUCGGCCCGCGUUGGAUUAGGUAGUUGGUGGGGUAAUGGCCUACCAAGCCGACGAUCCAUAGCUGGUUUGAGAGGAUGAUCAGCCACACUGGGACUGAGACACGGCCCAGACUCCUACGGGAGGCAGCAGUGGGGAAUCUUAGACAAUGGGCGCAAGCCUGAUCUAGCCAUGCCGCGUGAGCGAUGAAGGCCUUAGGGUUGUAAAGCUCUUUCAGUGGGGAAGAUAAUGACUGUACCCACAGAAGAAGCCUCGGCUAACUCCGUG
rnacentral:rRNA from 1 species